rnacentral:rRNA from 1 species
GGUACACAGAUUUGUUUUAUUAGAAGUUUUUAGUGUGUUUUUAGUUUGUUCGUAAGAUUUUAAAUUACGCGUUAGUAGUAAGGAUUAAUUUCUGUACCUUUUGUAUAAGGGUCUUUUAAGAUACAAAUAUAUAUUUUAUUUUCCCGACAGUAAGAAAUUUAUUAAAUUGAGUUAAUUUAGUGUUGCAUUACUACAUUAAACCUUUUAAUAAUUGGCUAGAUACUAUAUUGCUCUUACAGUUAUCUGGUUAGCCCCAAAAUAUAUUUAGUAUAGAGUUUUUUAAAAAAUAUUCACAAUAUUUUGGAUAAGCAGAGUAUGGAAUUUUAUUGAACCUGUCGGCAAAUUUUAUUGGUUGGGUAGGCUUAAUAUUAGUAAUCGGUUAGUUUGUUACAAAAAAUCUAGCGGUUUGGUGUUAAUUAGUUAGUUGGGUCAUUGAUUUGAUGGGCUUAAAUUUUAAAGAAUUAUAAUAAUGAUAAGAAUCAGUAGAAAAAGGGUUUUAAAGUAUUGCUUAAUAGUAGUUUGUAAUAGUUUUAGUACUUGUUUGUUUAAAUUUUUUGUAAUAAAUUCGGCAAAUAUACUUUCCGAAUGUUUAACAAAAACAUUUCUUCCUGGGUUAGGUUAAUAGGAGGUAGGCCCUGCCCAAUGCUUUACGAAGUAAACGGCUGCAUAAAUCUGAGUGUACUAAGGUAGCGCUAUAAUUUGCCCUUUAAAUGGGGGCUGGUAUGAAUGGGUUCACGUGAGAGUUGCUGUAUCACAAAAAUUUUUUGAAAUUAACUUUUAGGUGAAGAGGCCUAGCUAGGUUUAGAGGACGACAAGACCCUAGAAGCUUUACUGUCGGCAAGCUAUUGGGUGGUUUGUUUCAGUUUUGUUGGGGCAACAAGGUUAGAAAGUAUAGCGUAUUACUAUAAACCUACCAGUUAAAACCACAUUAGUGGAUAAGAUAAGUUACUCUAGGGAUAACAGCGUUAUUUUUUUUAAUAGUACGUAUUGUAAAAGAAGUUUGCGACCUCGAUGUUGGAUUAAGGUGUCCUUAAGGCGCAGAAGUUUUAAAGGGUUGGCCUGUUCGUCCAUUAAAACCUUACAUGAUCUGAGUUCAGACCGGCGUGAGCUAGGUCAGUUUCUAUCCUUACACGAGUAAGUGUGAUUAAGCUAGUACGAAAGGAAUUUUUAAUCUAAAGGUAUUUAAAAUUAUUUGAUGUAUGGGGCUUAUUGAAGCUACUUAUUGUUUAUUUCGUUUUGAGUUUACG